GACGAACGCUGGCGGCGUGCCUAACACAUGCAAGUCGAGCGAGUGAAUCUCCUUCGGGAGUGAAGCUAGCGGCGGACGGGUGAGUAACACGUGGGCAACCUGCCUCAUAGAGGGGAAUAGCCUUUCGAAAGGAAGCUUAAUACCGCAUAAGAUUGUAGAUUCGCAUGAAGUAGCAAUUAAAGGAGCAAUCCGCUAUGAGAUGGGCCCGCGGCGCAUUAGCUAGUUGGUGAGGUAACGGCUCACCAAGGCGACGAUGCGUAGCCGACCUGAGAGGGUGAUCGGCCACAUUGGGACUGAGACACGGCCCAGACGCCUACGGGAGGCAGCAGUGGGGAAUAUUGCACAAUGGGGGAAACCCUGAUGCAGCAACGCCGCGUGAGUGAUGACGGCCUUCGGGUUGUAAAGCUCUGUCUUCAGGGACGAUAAUGACGGUACCUGAGGAGGAAGCCACGGCUAACUACGUGCCAGCCGCCGCGGUAA
rnacentral:rRNA from 1 species